rnacentral:rRNA from 1 species
AUUGAACGCUGGCGGCAUGCUUUACACAUGCAAGUCGAACGGUAACAGGCCUUCGGGUGCUGACGAGUGGCGAACGGGUGAGUAAUGCAUCGGAACGUGCCCAGAGGUGGGGGAUAACGCAGCGAAAGCUGUGCUAAUACCGCAUGUGAUCUGAGGAUGAAAGCGGGGGACCAGGCAGCAAUGUUUGGCCUCGCGCCUUUGGAGCGGCCGAUGUCAGAUUAAGUAGUUGGUGGGGUAAAGGCCUACCAAGCCGACGAUCUGUAGCUGGUCUGAGAGGACGACCAGCCACACUGGGACUGAGACACGGCCCAGACUCCUACGGGAGGCAGCAGUGGGGAAUUUUGGACAAUGGGCGCAAGCCUGAUCCAGCAAUGCCGCGUGCGGGAAGAAGGCCUUCGGGUUGUAAACCGCUUUUGUACGGAACGAAAAGGCUCUGGCUAAUACCUGGGGCUGAUGACGGUACCGUAAGAAUAAGCACCGGCUAACUACGUG